GACGAACGCUUGCGGCGUGCUUAACACAUGCAAGUCGAACGGAAAGGCCCUGCUUUUGUGGGGUGCUCGAGUGGCGAACGGGUGAGUAACACGUGAGUAACCUGCCCUUGACUUUGGGAUAACUUCAGGAAACUGGGGCUAAUACCGGAUAGGAGCUCCUGCUGCAUGGUGGGGGUUGGAAAGUUUCGGCGGUUGGGGAUGGACUCGCGGCUUAUCAGCUUGUUGGUGGGGUAGUGGCUUACCAAGGCUUUGACGGGUAGCCGGCCUGAGAGGGUGACCGGCCACAUUGGGACUGAGAUACGGCCCAGACUCCUACGGGAGGCAGCAGUGGGGAAUAUUGCACAAUGGGCGGAAGCCUGAUGCAGCAACGCCGCGUGCGGGAUGACGGCCUUCGGGUUGUAAACCGCUUUCGCCUGUGACGAAGCGUGAGUGACGGUAAUGGGUAAAGAAGCACCGGCUAACUACGUGCCAGCAGCCGCGGUGAUACGUAGGGUGCGAGCGUUGUCCGGAUUUAUUGGGCGUAAAGGGCUCGUAGGUGGUUGAUCGCGUCGAAAGUGUAAUCUUGGGGCUUAACCCCUGAGCGUGCUUUCGAUACGGGUUGACUUGAGGAAGUAGGGGGAGAAUGGAAUUCCUGGUGGAGCGGUGGAAUGCGCAGAUAUCAGGAGGAACACCAGUGGGCGAAAGCGGUUCUCUGGGCCUUUCCUGACGCUGAGGAGCGAAAGCGUGGGGAGCGAACAGGCUUAGAUACCCUGGUAGUCCACGCUGUAAACGGUGGGUACUAGGUGUGGGGUCCAUUCCACGGGUUCCGUGCCGUAGCUAACGCUUUAAGUACCCCGCCUGGGGAGUACGGCCGCAAGGCUAAAACUCAAAGGAAUUGACGGGGCCCCGCACAAGCGGCGGAGCAUGCGGAUUAAUUCGAUGCAACGCGUAGAACCUUACCUGGGUUUGACAUGGAUCGGGAGCGCUCAGAGAUGGGUGUGCCUCUUUUGGGGUCGGUUCACAGGUGGUGCAUGGCUGUCGUCAGCUCGUGUCGUGAGAUGUUGGGUUAAGUCCCGCAACGAGCGCAACCCUUGUUCACUGUUGCCAGCACGUUAUGGUGGGGACUCAGUGGAGACCGCCGGGGACAACUCGGAGGAAGGUGGGGAUGACGUCAAGUCAUCAUGCCCCUUAUGUCCAGGGCUUCACGCAUGCUACAAUGGCUGGUACAGAGAGUGGCGAGCCUGUGAGGGUGAGCGAAUCUCGGAAAGCCGGUCUCAGUUCGGAUUGGGGUCUGCAACUCGACCUCAUGAAGUCGGAGUCGCUAGUAAUCGCAGAUCAGCAACGCUGCGGUGAAUACGUUCCCGGG
rnacentral:rRNA from 1 species